rnacentral:lncRNA from 1 species
UGGCUCAUGCCUGUACUCCCAGGACGUAAGCUGUGAUGACGCUCGGAUAUAGCCUGGCUGGACCCAGUGAGCCCAGGGCAUGGCUGCAACUGUUCAGACCCACAGUGGGACUCCCUCAACUAGGCAGGAACCAAGGUCCAGGAAGGCCCUACUGGGCCCAAUGAAGGCUAUUCUCUCCUGGGAUGGAGGUUCCCAUUCAAAGCCAGCUCCGUCCUCAGCCUAAGAAAAGUGAAGCGUUCCACAAACA